GCCGACGUGGCUCAGUGGUAGAGCAUCUUCUUGGUAAGAAGAAGGCCAUGGGUUCAAUUCCCAUCGUCGGCU
rfam:Candidatus Gottesmanbacteria bacterium RIFCSPLOWO2_01_FTLL_46_21 rifcsplowo2_01_scaffold_6298, whole genome shotgun sequence.